GCUGGAGUAGCUCAGUCGGUAGAGCAACGCCAUGGUAAGGCGUAGGUCCGGGGUUCGAAUCCCCGCUCCAGCU
rnacentral:tRNA from 1 species